GUGAAUGUUAUUUUUAAUGAAAGUGGUACAUUUUGACUCACGAUGUUGAAACCAGAUUAUAAAUGAGUCAUCGGUGAAUCAACCACAAGGAGCCUUUAUGAAGGUGAUUUACAGGAGGACUCUGACGUCUGCUGUCCCUUCACACGCUUCGCAGAGAUGCUGUCAGGCUUGGAGUUGGUCUGGGGCAUCUGCUGCCGAGUCAGCUCAAAAGGAUGCUGUGUUGUCACCAGUGGGAUUCCCCAGCCAGCCGGCACUGCGGUCCCACCCACAGAACUAAGGCAGCCAUCACUGAACAAUGCUUGUGGUUACAUCAUAGCUGCUGGCUUCCAGGUAGUGACUAGUAGAUACUGGGGAGAGUCACAGGCCAUCUGUUGCUCCCUGCUCCCAGACUCUUCCCUAAUGCCCACAUCCCCUCACCUGGUCAUCAAGAGGCUCAGUAGGAGGGCAGAAAAGUGAGACUUAAAGGUGAACAGACCUGGGCUUGAGUCCUAGGUCUAACGGAAUGGCCACAAAGAGUCAGGCAACAGCCUCAUGUUGCUCGUGUCUGAAAUGUAAACAUUAUCACCUACCAUGCCUCCCUUGCAGGAACCUUGCAAGGUUCUCGUGGGACCGUGCGAGUGAAAGUGUCUUGGAGACUGUCACAGGCCAUACCAAGAUUCUGUGGAUCCGGAAUUUGGACAGAGAACAGAGAGGAUGACUUAUGUCUGCGCUACAACGUCUGGGGCCUCAACAGAAAAGACUCAAAGGCUGGGGUGACUCGACAGCUAGGGUUUAGAAUCAUGUGAAUGCUUGUUCACUCAUAUAUCUGGCAUCUGAUACAGACUAGGACUGCAGACCCAUGGUCUACAUGUGGCCUCUCCAUGUGGCUUGGCUUCCCCACAGCAAGGCAGCCACAGGAUAGUCAGACUUCUUCCUUGGUUACAGAACCCAAAAGCAUUGUCCCAGCAAACAAGACAGAGCAGCAGUGGCUUUUGUGACCCAGCUUCAGAAGUGGCACAGCAUCACUUCUCUCCUACUUUACACUGGUCAAAGUAGCCUCAAGUCUGUGAGGAGGAGGGAUGAGACUCUGUCUCUUAAUGGGAAAGGAAUCAAAGAAUUUUGAGGGUAUGUUCUGUCACAUUGCCCGAGACAUAGUCUCAGCGUUGAGCUAUUCUUCCUAAGCCUGUUACCAGCUGCCUGUUGAAAGAAUUGAUUGUCUCCUUAAUGUUCCUCUGUUGACCUGUGAAUGUCUUGCUGCAUCUCCCCCUACCCCUAACUAUCUGAAUUCUCAGCUGCUCCACUAUAUAUCAAGAAGUCUUCACUUGAUAUAAGAUCCUGACUCCCGAAAUGGAGUACACAGGAUCUCCC
rnacentral:lncRNA from 1 species